rnacentral:rRNA from 1 species
AUUGAACUCUGGCGGCAUGCCUUACACAUGCAAGUCGAACGUCAGCACGGGUGCUUGCACUUCGUGGCGAGUGGCGGACGGGGGCGUAAUACAUCGGAACAUGUCCUGUAGUGGGGGAUAGCCCCGCGAAAGCCGGAUUAAUACCGCAUACGAUCUACGGAUGAAAGCGUGCGACCUUCGCGUCUCGCGCUAUUGGCUUCUCCGCUGGCUGAUUAGCUUGUUUGUGGGGUAAAGUCCUACCAAGGCGACGAUGAGUAGCUGGUCUGAGAGGACGACCAGCCGCACUGGGAAUGAGACACGGCCCCGACUCAUACGGGAGGCAGAGGUGGGGGAUGUUAGACACUGGGCGAAAGCCUGAUCCAGCAAUGCGGCGUGUGUGAAGAAGGCCUUCGGGUUGUAAAGCACUUUUGUCCGGAAAGAAAUCCUUGGUCCUAAUGCGGUCGGGGGAUGACGGUACCGGAAGAAUAAGCCCCGGCUAACUACGUG